rnacentral:rRNA from 1 species
ACACGGUAAGGAUUGACGGACUGAAGGCUCUUUCUCGAUUCCGUGGAAAGUGGUGCAUGGCCGUUUUUGGUUGGUGGAUCGAUCCGUCUGGUUAAUUCCGUUAACGAACGAGACCUCGGCACUCCGAAUAGCGCGGCGGACGUCGCGGCCUCCGGGCCGUCUUCCGCACGAGCUUCUUAGAGGGACCGUCCCCCGCCGGGGAAGGAGGUGCGAGGCAACGACAGGUCUGUGAUGCCCUUAGAUGUUCUGGGCCGCACGCGCAUUACACUGACGCGUCCAACGGGUGACUCCCGACCCGAAGGGGCCGGGGAAUCCGCAAGGCGCGUCGUGAUGGGGAUUGAACGUUGCAAUUGUUGUUCACGAACGAGGAAUUCCUAGUAGGCGCGGGGUCAUCAACCCGCGCCGAUUACGUCCCUGCCCUUUGUACACACCACC